rnacentral:rRNA from 1 species
UACGAAGGGGGCUAGCGUUGCUCGGAAUCACUGGGCGUAAAGGGCUCGUAGGCGGCCAACUAAGUCAGACGUGAAAUCCCUCGGCUUAACCGGGGAACUGCAUCUGAUACUGGAUGGCUUGAGUUUGGGAGAGGGAUGCGGAAUUCCAGGUGUAGCGGUGAAAUGCGUAGAUAUCUGGAGGAACACCGGUGGCGAAGGCGGCAUCCUGGACCAACACUGACGCUGAGGAGCGAAAGCCAGGGGAGCAAACGGG